rnacentral:rRNA from 1 species
AUGUUGUGGAGGCAUGAAGAUUCAGUCCGAGCAUGUUGGCAGAAGGCGGUGAGUGCCGGAGGUCAAAGCCGGAAGGCCAUUGCUUCGGUUAUGAUGCUUGUCUCAUGGGAAAUCUGGAAAGAACGAAACGCAAGAUUUUUUCGCAACACAGCAGCUUCAACCUCCAUCGUCGUCAGUAAAAUCAAAGAGCAAACCCAUCUUUGGGCAUUGGCGGGAGCCAAGCAUUUGAGUCUUCUUAUAUCGCGAGGGUAG